CCUCCUCACAUGGGGUGGUGGCGGGGUGAAUGAAGUGGGAGCGAUUCCUCCGCCCCCGCGCUUACCUACCAGGCCCAGCGGGGCCCGCCCCCCCCUGCGCCCAGUCCAGCGCCCGCCCGACCGCCGGCCGCUGCCCUGGACCCUGGCGUCCGGCUCCCCCCGUGCCAGGACCCCGCGUCGCGGACUCACGAUGGCCAAGCGCAGCUCGCUGUUCAUCCGCAUCGUGGAGGGGAAGAACCUGCCCGCCAAGGACAUCACGGGCAGCAGCGAUCCCUACUGCAUCGUGAAGGUGGACCACGAGCCCAUCAUAAGGUACCGCCCUCGCCCCGCCCCCACCUGAGGGUGAGUGAGAUGGGCUGCCCCCCCGGGCCCGUUUGAACUCACACAUCUGGCGUGUGUGUGUGUGUGUGUGUGUGUGUGUGUGUGUGUGUGUGUGUGUGAAAUUUGCGUGGUGAGGGCUUGGAACAUCUGAUUCCCUGGAGCCCAUCAGGCCCUCACAGCCUGCUAGGAGGUAAGGAAGACCCACUAGUCUUGCCGAUUACUGGCCUUACGGCCCACGGAGGGGUUAUGUGCCGCGGGCGGGUGCUCAGACAAGGCCUCUCCCCGACCCUGUCGCUCUUUACAACCCGCAGGAGGGAAAGAUGAUGAUGGCUCACUACAACAGCAGUCACUUAGGGAACGUGGUCUCUGCCAGGCCCUGUGAGAAACCUUUCCCAGCCCGCUUAAUGCUUCCAGUGAGCUCCGUACAAUAGGGUCACAUCCUGUUUACAGAAGAACUAACUUGUCCAGAAGGGCCACUUCCCCUGGGCGUCCCUUUCUCCAUGGGCUCCAUGAUUCUGGCAGGGUCUUUGCUGUUUGGUCCCCUCUCUCACUCAGGCCUUUGCCUCAAAGUUCAUGGCCAAAGCCGCUCAGCUCUUCUACCCAUCUGGGUGUCCACUGCUGAUUGAGAGCCAAGGCUGCCAUACACAGUUCUUCUCACUGCAGACGCCUUUUUCCAGAUUCUCUCCUGAGCAUGGGCACCAUGAGGGGGGAGACAUGCAUGCUCUGAUUGCCUCAAUGACAGACAGAGAAACCAAGGCCCCAGAGUUCAAGUGACCUGUCCAAGAACUGGUUGGGAUGAAGGUGAUCCCCUGAGCCUUCAUCUGGGUCCUUGGGGAGUUUCAGCUUCCCCACAUCCACAUACCCUGCUGAGCCCUAUGUGCUGAAGGCUCUGUCCUGGGGGGUUCGGCCAGAACUGGGUGAGGCUUUGCCCAUACAGGACCUCUGUGGGUCAGGACCCAGACCUUGGCUCUCAGGGCCCCCAGGAGGACUCUCUGUCUCCAGAGUCAACUUGGCCAUCCCCCUGCCUCUACAGUGAGUCUGUCCAGCAUCUGGAGCCAGGGGGAGGCUUUGGUCCUGGCUCUGCCACUGUCCUGCUGUGUGACCUGAGGCCAGCUACUGCCAACUCUGGUCUCAGUUUCCCCCAAUGGAAAAUGGCCUGAUAGACGCAGCCUGUGCCCCACCCAGGGCA
rnacentral:lncRNA from 1 species